rnacentral:rRNA from 1 species
GACAGAGGGUGCAAACGUUGUUCGGAAUUACUGGGCGUAAAGCGCGUGUAGGCGGCUUGGCAAGUCGGGUGUGAAAGCCCUGGGCUCAACCCAGGAAGUGCACUCGAAACUGCUCCGCUCGAGUAUCGGAGAGGAAAGCGGAAUUCUCGGUGUAGAGGUGAAAUUCGUAGAUAUCGAGAGGAACACCGGUGGCGAAGGCGGCUUUCUGGACGAUUACUGACGCUGAGACGCGAAAGCGUGGGGAGCAAACAGG